rnacentral:rRNA from 1 species
AACGAACGCUGGCGGCAGGCCUAACACAUGCAAGUCGAACGGGUAGCAAUACUCUAGUGGCAGACGGGUGAGUAACACGUGGGAACCUUCCUUUUAGUAUGGAAUAGCCCGGCGAAAGCCGGAUUAAUACCAUAUACGCCCUAUGGGGGAAAGGAAUUUAUCGCUAAAAGAAUGGGCCCGCGUAAGAUUAGCUAGUUGGUGAGGUAAUGGCUCACCAAGGCUACGAUCUUUAGCUGGUUUGAGAGAAUGAUCAGCCACACUGGAAC